GAUGAAGAACGUAGUGAAAUGCGAUACUUGGUGUGAAUUGCAGAAUCCCGUGAACCAUCGAGUCUUUGAACGCAAGUUGCGCCCGAAGCCAUCAGGUUGAGGGCACGUCUGCCUAGGCGUCACAUAUCGUUGCCCAAUGCCUAUUGCAGUGCAAUAGGAAUUUCUAGGGCGAAUGAUGGCUUCCCGUGAGCGUUGUUGCCUCGCGGUUGGUUGAAAAUCGAGUCCUUGGUAGGGUGUGCCAUGGUAGAUGGUGGUCGAGUUAGAACGAUACCGAUCAUGUGCAUGCUCCCCAAAAUAUGGCCUCUAUGACCCACACGCGUCUUUUGACGCUCAUGACGAGACCUCAGGUCAGGCGGGGCUACCCGCUGAAUUUAAGCAUAUCAAUAAGCGGAGGA
rnacentral:misc_RNA from 1 species